CCCUAGCCCUGAUGGUAGCGGCAUCCUUUUGUGGUGGCGUUCACCACAAAAGAUAUAGCGUACAGCAGGAAUUAGC
rnacentral:sRNA from 1 species